rnacentral:rRNA from 1 species
UCGACCGUGCAAAGGUAGCUUUUUCAUUUGCCUUAUAAUUGAUGGCUGGUAUGAAUGGUUUAAUUAGAAUAAAGCUGUCUCUUUAUAAAUAAAUAGAAUUUUAUUUUUAGGUGAACAAGCCUGAAUUUAAUUAAAAGACAAGAAGACCCUAUCGAGCUUUAAAUAAAUUAAUAGAAUUAUAAUGAUUAUAAGUUAAAAGAUUAACUUUAACUUAUUUUGGUUGGGGCGACAAAGGAACAUAAAAAGCUUCUUUUUAUCAAGAAUUUAAAACAUAUAGGUAUUUGAUCCAAAGAGUUUUGAUUAAAAGAAUUAGUUACCGUAGGGAUAACAGCAUUAUCUUUUUUGAGAGCUCAUAUCGAAAAAAAGGUUUGUGACCUCGAUGUUGGACCAGAAUGUCCUGAAGAUGCAGAAGUCUUUAAGGGUUGGUCUGUUCGACCAUUAAAAUUCUA